CCUACGGGUGGCAGCAGUGAGGAAUAUUGGUCAAUGGCCGUAAGGCUGAACCAGCCAAGUCGCGUGAAGGACGAAGGAUCCAUGGUUUGUAAACUUCUUUUCUCGAGGAAUAAAGGUAUCCACGUGUGGAUAUUUGCGUGUACCCUAUGAAUAAGCAUCGGCUAACUCCGUGCCAGCAGCCGCGGUAAUACGGAGGAUGCGAGCGUUAUCCGGAUUUAUUGGGUUUAAAGGGUGCGUAGGUGGUGUUUUAAGUCAGCGGUUAAAGUUUGUGGCUCAACCAUAAAAUUGCCGUUGAAACUGGAAGACUUGAGUGUGUUUGAGGUAGGCGGAAUGCGUGGUGUAGCGGUGAAAUGCAUAGAUAUCGCGCAGAACUCCGAUUGCGAAGGCAGCUUACUAGGGCAUAACUGACACUGAAGCACGAAAGCGUGGGGAUCGAACAGGAUUAGAUACCCUGGUAGUC
rnacentral:rRNA from 1 species